rnacentral:rRNA from 1 species
CACGUAGGGUGCGAGCGUUAAUCGGAAUUACUGGGCGUAAAGCGUGCGCAGGCGGUUUUGUAAGUCAGAUGUGAAAUCCCCGGGCUUAACCUGGGAACUGCGUUUGAAACUACAAGGCUAGAGUGUGGCAGAGGGGGGUGGAAUUCCACGUGUAGCAGUGAAAUGCGUAGAGAUGUGGAGGAACACCGAUGGCGAAGGCAGCCCCCUGGGUUAACACUGACGCUCAGGCACGAAAGCGUGGGGAGCAAACAGG